UACGGUAGGGUGCGAGCGUUGUCCGGAAUUACUGGGCGUAAAGAGCUCGUAGGCGGUGUGUCGCCGUCGGCCGUGAAAACCUGCAGCUUAACUGUGGGCUUGCGGUCGAUACGGGCAUCACUGGAGUUCGGCAGGGGAGACUGGAAUUCCUGGUGUAGCGGUGAAAUGCGCAGAUAUCAGGAGGAACACCGGUGGCGAAGGCGGGUCUCUGGGCCGAGUA
rnacentral:rRNA from 1 species